AACGAACGCUGGCGGCAUGCCUAACACAUGCAAGUCGAACGAGACCUUCGGGACUAGUGGCGCAUGGGUGCGUAACGCGUGGGAACCUGCCCUUAGGCUCGGAAUAACUCCCCGAAAGGGGUGCUAAUACCGGAUAAUGUCCUCGGACCAAAGAUUUGUCGACUUUGGAUGGGCCCGCGUUGGAUUAGCUGGUUGGUAGGGUAAAAGCCUACCAAGGCAACGAUACAUAGCUGGUCUGAGAGACAGGUCCGCCACUCUGGCACUGAGACACGGCCCAGACUCCUACGGGAGGCAGGAAUGGGGAAUAUUGGACAACGGGCGAAAGCCUGAUCCAGCAAUGCCGCGUGAGUGAUGAAGGCCUUAAGGUUGUACAGCUCUUUUACCCGGGAUGGUAAUGACAGUACCGGGAGAAUAAGCUCCGGCUAACUCCGUG
rnacentral:rRNA from 1 species